AUUGAACGCUGGCGGAAUGCUUUACACAUGCAAGUCGAGCGGCAGCGCGGGGGCAACCCUGGCGGCGAGCGGCGAACGGGUGAGUAAUGCAUCGGAACGUACCCAGUCGUGGGGGAUAACGUGGCGAAAGUCACGCUAAUACCGCAUACGUCCUGAGGGAGAAAGCAGGGGAUCGCAAGACCUUGCGCGAUUGGAGCGGCCGAUGUCUGAUUAGCUAGUUGGUGGGGUAAAGGCCUACCAAGGCGACGAUCAGUAGCUGGUCUGAGAGGACGAUCAGCCACACUGGGACUGAGACACGGCCCAGACUCCUACGGGAGGCAGCAGUGGGGAAUUUUGGACAAUGAGCGAAAGCCUGAUCCAGCCAUUCCGCGUGAGUGAAGAAGGCCUGG
rnacentral:rRNA from 1 species